rnacentral:rRNA from 1 species
GAUGAACGCUGGCGGCGUGCCUAAUACAUGCCAGUCGAGCGAACAGACGUGGAGCUUGCUCCUCUGAUGUUAGCGGCGGACGGGUGAGUAACACGUGGAUAACCUACCUAUAAGACUGGGCUAACUUCGGGAAACCGGAGCUAAUACCGGAUAACAUGUUGAACCGCAUGGUUCAACAGUGAAAGACGGUCUUGCUGUCACUUCUAGAUGGAUCCGCGCCGCAUUAGCUAGUUGGUAAGGUAACGGCUUACCAAGGCAACGAUGCGUAGCCGACCUGCGAGGGUGAUCGGCCACACUGGAAGUGAGACAGGGUGCAGACACCGACGGUAGGCAGCAGUAGGGAAUCUUCCGCGAUGGACGAAAGCCUGACGGAGCAACGCCGCGUGAGUGAAGAAGGUCUUCGGAUCGUAAAACGCUGUUAUUAGUGAAGAACAAAUGUGUAAGUAACUAUGCACGUCUUGACGGUACCUAAUCAGAAAGCCACGGCUAACUACGUG